UUCGUCUUUGUCCGUUGAUCCAACUUGUUCGUAACAAUCAUCUUAAAAAGAAAGUCGCGUCACUAUUGAACCUGCUCCUGAAAUUCAAUUGACUUGCCGUUGUCCUCUGUACAUAAUUCACUGCUACGCCUUUGUAAGUAAUAUUUGAACGUGUAAGAGCAUCGUUAUCUUUGCAUCAUUAUGCGUAGCAUUGUUGGUAAUUUACUGAAAACAAAAAAUUAGCGCAUUGCGUGGUAGCUACAGUUUUUACUCCGUAGUAUCAGUGGGUGUGCUAAAUUUAAGUAUUAUUUGGUAAAUGAUCCAUUCGUUUUGUUUCAAUAGUUAUUUCGUCGUUUCUAUUUUAAUUUCACGAACAACAAUUCUAACUGGACCGUGAAAUUUCUAUUUUUGAGACAAACAAGAUGAUAUUGUUUUGUUCUUUACAUAUUUAUUAAAUAUUAUAAAGUAUACUGCUUCGCUCAGAUAUUUAUAACUCUUGUUAUAUAGAUUUGUUUACAUCACCUCCUGUUAAGAACUUUCAUUAUGCUCCAUUUUUCCUUCAAGAAGCUGUAAAUUUCCUUUCGGUCGCAGACUCUUACUAAUUGCAAUUGUUUGCGCACGAUUAAUGCGCGCUAUAAAUAUUCCGCAAUAAAUUCAACGGUAUCCUUAGCGUAGAUCAAGUGUGAAAUUUAACUUGUUAAAAUUAAUGAAAUAUUGCUCAAUGAGAUAGUGAGGGGUGGGUCACAUCGUAUAUGUAUAUUGACUUGGCAUAUUUUACACAUACUGACUAAAUAUACGCCAAUGUAAACAGCAACGUAUCGUGAGUCAUGCGAUAAGAAGAAGCAUGUAUGUGUAGUUAAAAAACGUUUAUGCGUAUUCUAGUUGUCGUCGUUGUUUAACGGAUUGUGCAACAAGAAUUACAAUUUUCCGUGUCAAGUAUGACUAAGUGACGGAAACAGUAGCUCGCAUUUUUUUGUUUCUAUUCAUUUCCAAUUCGAAUUACUAAUAAUAAUUUUUUAUAGACACCUUUAGUUCCAAUGUUUCAACAUUGCACAAUUGCACGCAUUGGUGGAUAUUUAAGUACAUUUCGAUACGGUACAAAACGUGUAUAUUAUUUAGAACUUAAAUAACAUAUGAAACGAGUCUAUUUGUGUCAGCGUUGUUAUACGCUUGAAGUUUUCCUAGUUACAGUAGUGCAAGUAGAAUACUAGAGCAUCUAUAGCCGGCAAUCAUUAAUUAAUACUUCUGGGCACGUAAGCUCAUUGCAUUUAUAAGCCUUGUAAUUCGAUACAGUACAAUUUAAUUACAAUGAAAUUAUGAAGAUAAUUCAUUUUGCAUGUUAAUCUGAGCAGUCAUGCUUAUAGUUAAGCUUUCCGAGAAGUAAUGUGAAAGCGAAUCAUUGGCUAUCAGGGAAUUCCGAUUAGUGACUGUAUAUUUCUUAAUGCACUUUAAAAAAGAGAGAGUCAGAGGCAGAAUGAGAGUAUUGUUCCUUGCAUAUUUCGGUUGGCCCGCUAAGGAUCAUGUCAGUCUUCGAAACGUGUUUCCAGUCAGCUAUUGGAAAAUGUGGAACAGACAGUUACUAAAAGACGGUUAGCGCUUUAAUGAAUUCAACCGUUGACUGGCUUUGUGCUCGCAAAACAGGAUUAGGAAGACAGGAAUCAGGGGAUGAGGUAGUAAAGAAGUCUGAAAGGACGUUCCAGCGUCUAACCGUUUCGGCGACGCGACGACGACGCACGGCUAGGAUAUUGGUUCAGAGUAGUUUGUACACUAUACUCUGCGACGAAACUGCGUCAUUUCUCCAGGGUCAGAGGGGAACUGGUUGUAAUUCUGCUCUAAAUUCCUCGUUUUACUCAAGGUUCGGCCACGCCAUGGUGUCCUUGGUAGUUUUAUGACUCGUUAAGAGCACACUUCUAUAUUUCAUUUUAAACUUAAGUACCGCAACACACACGUAAAUGUCCUUCAACGUGAAAAAGAUCUGUCUCUUUUUCCUCGGUACUUUUUGUACGUCUGCCUGAUGUUGUUUGCGAUAUAUUAACUUCACAGUCUAAAGCUUUAUCUUUCAUGUACGUAAUUAUGAUUUCUUAUAAUACUUUUGGAAAAUGAUAUCUUUCACGUUUCCUGUUUCGAUAUAAGUCCGAUAGGCUUUAGAAAUAUAAUAGGUUUAAACAUUAAGAAAGAUCGUGUUGAUAUAACGAUAGAUCUAGGCAAACAAUUAUUAUAGAAUGGAACGUUCCGCGUGCAACGUUUUAUUGUAGCCUGUGAUAUCUCCACCUUUAACGGAAAGAAUCGUAUCGGGUUUCCCGCGUUGUGAGUCAACGUCAUUAAGAAUUUACGCGUACUUGGACUCUCAGCGUAAGUACGCUCGUGUGAAAUUAAACUCCUACCGCAAUUGAAUUCGACGUUUAUGUGGUGUACGUGACGCAUAUGAUACCAAGCUCUCUCGCAAUUUAUACGUCACCCUUAUCCGACGAUUUGUACAUACGAAAGUUCUCCCAAUCUUAAGACGUUCACACAUAUUCGGGUCGUGUUCCAUUUUAUUUUAACAAUUUUUUAUACUCAGUUUAUAUUUAGAUUUAGUUUUUGCCAUGAACAAUGCUAAACAGUUUAAGAUAGUUAUCCCAUUUUCAGAUGGAUGCUUUUACGUAACGCGGUAAUUUUCGACCGCGUACCAGGAAAAUCAAUUGCGUCACACGCGAAUCGUAAUUGCAUCAUCAUCGGAAUGUUUCCUUUUCUACUUCAACCUACUAUGUAGGAUACAAUGUCACCGGUGGAUAGAAUGCAGUAGUAAUAAUAUUUAGUAAUUCGGUACGAUAGAACGGCGAAAUUUUGAUCCUAGCUAUAAUUGGCACAUGGAACAGAUAUAUCAGAGCGGCCAAGGUCAUGACUAAGAAACACACACUAAGACACACUACAGUACGACAGAGGAUGUGCGUCGCUGCUUCUAAAUUCUUUCCUUGAUUAAAUAUCAACGUUAAUAUAAUGUGUGAAAAGUAGGUAAAGGAGAGAGAAAUCAGAUGAUUGAUCGUUAGAUAUAGAUUGAACUGUUUGCUCUUCGUGCAUCGAACAAACGCUGCAUCUAAUUAUCUUGUUUAAAAUUCCGUUGUUAUAUCCUUUGUGAUGCUGAUUAUCAUGUACGAUACAUUGUACAGAUAAUUCUGUGAAAUACGCCUUAUAGUUUUAUGCAAUUUCGUAAUCAACUGAUUGGUAAUCAUCAAACGAGGGACUCGUCGCCACACAAUUCGUAUGUCUUCGUCAUUUUCGACUGAAAAGACAAGGACACCAUCGUGCGUUAAAAUACUAUUUGUGUGCACCACGCGUAAGAAAUAGAAUGGUUGGAAAAGAUAGUGGUAACUAGAUAGUAUCUGAAAGAUAAGAACACGUUUUCCGCACUUGAAUCGAUUUCGAAUAUAUCUUGUAGAUUCGUAUCAGCUGAGUAAGAAAGUCGACACGGUUCUGCUUCUAGAAAUAGCGAUUGGAACAUACUAAUUUCCAGUACUUUACUAUUCUUUUGAAGGUGGGAUUAUUCGUUCUUCUUCGAUUAUUUUUCGAUCAGAUUCAAUAACGCGUAUACAAAACUUCUGAAGAAAGAGAAGAGAAUAAUGUUUUCAGAGAAACAUUAUUUGCUUUGCCGAAUAUCUUUCAAGGCUUUUUCUAAAGUCGUGAAUCUUUUUAUACUUUUAGUGAAACGAGAUUUUCCUAACGUUGUUAGAGAUUCAGAUAAUUUUAGGCCUCUUUUUAGAGAUUGAAGAAAUAAAAUUCGAAUUUGUUGUU